rfam:Schistosoma mattheei strain Denwood, Zambia genome assembly, scaffold: SMTD_scaffold0020159
AUCCGACUGACGAGUCCCAAAUAGGACGAAACGCGCGUCCUGGAU